rnacentral:rRNA from 1 species
UACGGAGGGUGCAAGCGUUAUCCGGAUUUACUGGGUUUAAAGGGUGUGUAGGCGGACUUUUAAGUCAGGGGUGAAAUCCUGAGGCUCAACCUCGGAACUGCCUUUGAUACUAUUGGUCUUGAAUCUUGUUGAGGUGGGCGGAACGGGUCAUGUAGCGGUGAAAUGCAUAGAUAUGACCCGGAACACCGAUUGCGAAGGCAGCCCGCUAAGCAAGCAUUGACGCUGAGGCACGAAAGCGUGGGGAUCAAACAGG